CUGACACGAUCCGGUUGGAGUGAGUCAUCAGUUUGGCUUUCUUUGUUUACUCGCGUUGAUUCUCUGCUUCUUUAUAUCUUUUAUACCCUUUCCCUUCCUCUUUAACUUCAUCAGAUUCACACCCCUCUUCACUCUUUCAUUUGUCCUCUGAUUUCAAAAUCUGAGAGUCCCUGCACCCUUGAGUUUCAUUUUGUUAUAUUCACUUGGUUUGUUAUAUCGGAGGGACUGGAAGAUGAAGCAAUCAACUGUCUUAUGAAUCCAUAAAGGUUUAUAGUCAAACGUGGAGUUCCCCAUUUCAGUAGUUGGAUCGAUUCACUACAAGAUCUAGAGAAUUAAACAAGUUGUUGUGAAUAAGGUAGGCACGAAAUCAUCAAAAUUGGCAUGUUCCCCAAAAGAGAAAUGGAUUAUGAGCCCUUUGAAACGUGGAUUUCAUUUGAUAAAAUUAUGGAGAAAUGCAUUUGGUUGUAUGGAAUAGGUGGUGUGGGGAAGAAGACACUCGUCAAAGAAGUUUAUAGGCAAGCUACAAAAGAUAAGAAUGUUUUUGACGAUGUAGUUUUAGUACGAUGUGCUGUUGACAAUGAGAGCACAGCCAGCCUCAGCCUGAAGAGCACUUCAUCUAUGUGACAGGAUAAAAGACAAGAAGGCUCUUGUAAUAUUGGAUGAUGUUUGGGAUAACAUUGAUUUGGAGGCUGUGAUACUUCUUGUUAACAUCUACUAGUGGAAGAGUACUUCCACCUCAGAUGCAUAUGCAGAAGGUUUGUGCUAGUUUAUUUUAGAAGAUGGCAGGUGAUGUUGUUAAGGAUCUCACACUAUGAUUUUGUAGCAACCCACUUAGCCUUGUUUUGGAGUUUUGCUAGUUACAAAUUUCACAGUUGCAAGAGCUUUAAAAAUUAUAGAAGUGCUCUCUACGUGCAUAGUGGAAAUUGGGAAGAUGCCUUGAGAUGCCUAAAAAAGAGCAUACUUGGCUCUAGAGUGGAGUUACAAUCAAUUGAAUGACAAAGAGCUUAAGCCAUUGUUCUUGCUAUCUGGAAUUAUUAAAAUAUAAUACAGUGGAAGAAAGCAAGUGGUCCUCGUCAAAGAAGUUGAUAGGCAAGCUACGAAAGAUAAAAACCUUGUCUCUGUGGAUAAAAGACAAGAAGAUUCUGGUAAUUUUGAAUGAUGUUUGGGAUAAAAUUGAUUUUGAUGCUGUGGAACUUCCUAGUUAUUGUGAUGUGCUGCUGAUAUGCUGAUGUAUUUAGCUAAUGUAUAGACCAUGGGGGUUGCAAAUAUUCUAGAUUAGCUCAAUAAGUGCAAAACAUGCAAUUUUGUUUCUUGGGCAUCCAUAUUGUUUAAUCUAAGCUGUAGCCUUUGAUUAUCUAUCUUUUACACCCUUAAUUUGAGUUUUAAAUCUGCAAUGAAGCUUUGAUAUUGUUGGGACCUUUGGGAUUACAUUUACAAAUUCCAGUGGAGGUGGAUCUUUCAAUUGGUUAAAAAUUUGAGAUGGGUAUAUAAAUAAGCCAAGACUUCGAUCUGCAACAAUGAGUUCAUUGGUAAUAACUGAUUAUGGUAGACGUGAGCUAAUCUGAUGUAGUUAGGGGACUUGUGUUCAGGCCUUAUAAGAUGAAGUUUAGGGUUAAAAUCUGUUUGGUGAAGGGUAUUGUACUUAUUCUGUAAUACUGCAAUGUCAAAUUUCAUGAUCCUCCAAGAUGGUUCUGUGUUCAAA